UCAUAAUUUGGUGGGAGUGUAAAUAACCAUAAGUAUAUUUGUUGCAGAAAAAAUUCUUUUAUUUUGAAAUGUUUGUAUUGAAACGGGUGUCCUCUGGUCUUCCGCUCAUGCCUUUGUCCUUCUUUUGGGAAGCGCACGCGCGCCCUGGUUAGUGCUGUUUAUAACAUAUUGCUCAUCGCAAGUAAGGCAAUAACUUUGACACGGAGCCGUGUUUAAACUUCACUCUUAUAUUUGCAGCCCCUCUGAAGAGGCAAAAGCUCUUACGUUGGUGAUAUGGUGAAUGGAUUAAGGUUCAUAAAGGAUUAAACAACAUAAAACCAUCAGUAAAAGUCUCAUCCUUGUUCGGGGGGCCUGCUACAUUAUCUGUAUCCAAGUUCGUGAUAUAGAGCCUAUUCAUCAAAUUGUUUUUUAACAAUAAACAUUAAUAUAAGUGAAACUUGGCCAAACUUGCAUCAGGAGUAGACUUUGAACUUAUAGCGCAUUAAGAGAGAGAGCAUUUAGGCCACGCCCACACCGGGGAACAAUCCAACCGCCUUUCUAUUGCGGGAAAAUACCACCUUGACAUUUCUGAUUUAUAGCAAGAAAACAGAACAAUGACUAAAACUGCUGUCUGACAGGGUGCACAGCAAACAAGAGAAAGUCCAGUGACCACGUCCCUCUUAACCUAGCGGGUCUAAGAUAUGCGAGGCUGUCUGGUGGUUCAAGUAAACAUAUUUUAAAUUGCAAACACUUGUCAGUAUCGCACUCGUACAGACUCUUAAUCUGCUGGGUAGAAUUAAGUCCGUACAGAAUGGUGAGCGAUUUGACCAAUCGGGAGAAAGGGGCGUUAAUGCACCGCCCACAUAUAUACGAAUCCCAUAUUGAAUCCAAAAUCCGUUUUUCAAACGGCAAACGAAAAAUGAAAAAUCGGGCCGAAAUGUAAUUUUUCGUUUGGUGAACUAAACGAAAAAACAAAAAACGAGUCAUCUUUCAGUUUCCUAUAAUUUAUUUCAAAUAGGAUAUCAAAUGAAUAAAACGUACACGGACCACAUGCAAAGCAAGAUAGUUCAAGCCGUGAUUUGUCAUAAUUGUGAUGAUUAUUGCUUCAUAAUCCGUGUAUCAUUCGUUCUUUUCAUAUUCAAUUGAGAUUCCAAAAUCUGAAAAUUAAAAAACGGUUUGUUAUUUCGUUAUUCGUUUAUAAAUGUGAUACCAAAAAACAAAUAACGGGUCAUUUUUCGUACUUUUGAUUUAAUGCUCAGAUCAAAAAUGGGAAAUGAAACAAAGGGGACACGACAGAUUUUGAUUUUGAGAUUUAAUUUGUUCGAUUUGGGUAAGCCGGAAGUUAUCUUCGUGUGUGUAUGUGUUGCAGUUAAAAGAAGCCUGAAAACCCUCAAUCUUGCAGUGAUUGACUAAGUAAUUUUUUUUGUAAUUUCGUAUCGACACCCUGGCCGCACUGGAAUCAUAUGCUGAUUUAAUUAAAGACUUAUUUGAAACUGUCAGGACACAUAAAGAGAUGUCAACUACGCUGCAGAAGAUGGGUAUCCAGCGAAGUUCUGAAAUGAGACGAGGCUGAAUCCAGCUUCUUAUUCGCAGUUUCUUAUUCACGCUUAGCUUCUUAGGGACCAUCUCGCGUUUCUCUUCUUUUACGUUUUUAAAAUAAAAACUUUUUUGUGUGUGUGUUUCUGUGUGCGCGCGCGUGUGUGUGUGUCUGUUGGCGUGUGUCUGUGCCUGCCUGCGUGCGUGUGUGAGAGAGAGUGCACAGAGGAUGGGCUGCUGCUCGCUGUCUAAGUCAUGACCUGCUGAAUGCCCCUUGAGAUGACCGUGAACUUCACGUGGAACCUCCAUCACCCACUCCCCUUAACAUUCUCUAUAUUACUUUGAUCGAACAGUUUUUUUAGGCAGCCUAUGUCCACCAUGAAUAUUAAUCGAAUCCAAAAGUACCUACAUGUUUGAAAGUGCAAUAUUCUGGUGCAGAACAUGCAGUACGGUUUAUGCAUGAGUAAUUUACGUGUAUAUUUGUAAAAAAAACAUAGUAUACACCGUUUUGUUAUACUUUGCAUAUAUAUAAUUAACUGUUUUUAUUCUAUAUAUUUAUUUUUUCUAUUUCCUUUGUUUGUCUAUACUGUAUUUUUUCAUUCUGAGCUCCUGAAACCACAACACGUUGCUUGUCUUUGUGUGCACAAUUUGAAAAUAAAGCUUAUUCUAAUUUUUUACUGA